CCUACGGGGGGCAACAGUGGGGAAUAUUGGGCAAUGGGCGCAAGCCUGACCCAGCAACGCCGCGUGAAGGAAGAAGGUUUUCGGAUUGUAAACUUCUGUCCUUGGGGACGAAACAAAUGACGGUACCCAAGGAGGAAGCCCCGGCUAACUACGUGCCAGCAGCCGCGGUAAUACGUAGGGGGCAAGCGUUGUCUGGAAUUACUGGGCGUAAAGGGAGCGUAGGCGGUCUGUUAAGUGGGAUGUGAAAAACCCGGGCUUAAACCGGGAGGUGCAUGCUAAACUGGCAGACUUGAGUGUGGGAGAGGAAAGUGGAAGUCCCAGUGUAGCGGUGAAAUGCGUAGAUAUUAGGAGGAACACCAGUGGCGAAGGCGGCUUUCUGGACCAUAACUGACGCUGAGGCUCGAAAGCGUGGGGAGCAAACA
rnacentral:rRNA from 1 species